rnacentral:rRNA from 1 species
GAGGAGCUUGCUUCUCUGAUCAGUGGCGAACGGGUGAGUAACACGUGAGCAAUCUGCCCUUGACUCUGGGAUAACUGCGGGAAACUGUAGCUAAUACCGGAUACGACCUGAAGAGGCAUCUUUUUGGGUGGAAAGAAUUUUGGUCAAGGAUGAGCUCGCGGCCUAUCAGCUUGUUGGUGAGGUAAUGGCUCACCAAGGCGACGACGGGUAGCCGGCCUGAGAGGGUGACCGGCCACACUGGGACUGAGACACGGCCCAGACUCCUACGGGAGGCAGCAGUGGGGAAUAUUGCACAAUGGGGCGCAAGCCUGAUGCAGCAACGCCGCGUGAGGGACGAAGGCCUUCGGGUUGUAAACCUCUUUUAGUAGGGAAAAGCGACUGGGUUUUUCCUGGGGAGUGACGGUACCUGCAAAAAAAGCACCGGCUAACUACGUGGCCAGCAGCCGCGGUAAUACGUAGGGUGCAAGCCGUUGUCCGGAAUUUAUUGGGGCGUAAAAAGCUCGUAGGCGGUUUGUCCCGUCUGCUGUAA